UACGUCUGUGUCUCGUUUGGAAGGCUUCGUGCUAGGUAGGACGCGUCCUUUGAAGGCUGCAGUAUACCGAGCGUCCUCCUUUAAACGAGACGGCCUUCGUAGGACAAACGGAAACGGAACGUGUCAUGGUUGCUAUGACAGCACGCCACUCUUGAGUGAGAAGGGUCUUGCCUAUGGUUUCUGGGAUGGAUCAUUAACAUUCACUCUGACCAUAUCCUCAGGAACCUCCAUCAGCCUGGAGAGACAGGCUAUAAGAUAACUAAAGGGGCAUGUCUGAAUAUGGAGCAGGAGCAAACUUCUUAGGUGAGAUUGUAGAAAGGACUGGAUUUGCUCUGGUCGGUCACUCAGUCCACAGUGCAUCUUUUGCCUAGAGCAGUGGCUCACCACAAGUGGUAUCUUCCAAAAUUUGAAGACUAUCCAAAAUCAAGGAAAGCUUUAAUACCGUUUGUGAUCUGAUUCUGUGUUCAUUCCCUUCAGAAGUGCUCUGUCAAUCUGGAACUGUUUGAGGUGUUGGGUGGGCAGUGAGAAAUCUGUCUGACUGUUCACAGGGGAAAUAACCCUAUAGCCACAGGCAAGGCAAUGAUGAAAUCUCCCUGCAAACCACAUCGCACACAUACAUAACCUUUUGCAGCACCAAGCACAACCCCAACCAUAAGCUUUGAGUAAUAAAGGAGCAUGCAAAGGACUUGUGUUGAAUGUUACGUUUUUGAAACAUGUUAAUACAGCAGUGAGCCGCAAGCAGCACACAAAAUUAAUUGUGUGGAUCUCUGCAUGCACUGUGGCAGUAGUGAUCGCAUGAGAUGUCAGUGUUCUGACCCCCCUUUUUACAUAUGCUGCACGUGAGCUGAAGGCAAAGUGUUCAUUAUAUAAUGAGUAGGAGGAUCUUGCAGUUGUAGCUUUAUUAUUCAGCAUGUCAAAUGGUGAUUUAUCAUCAUCAACAGAGAUGUCUUUUUCUAAGGUUUUUUUUUUUUUUCUUCAAAAGCAUGAGUUUAUUUUUGACAGAAAGAGUAUCAGUUUUGCAACUGGCUGUCUAGUUUGCUCAAUUGCACAAUCAGUGACAUGAUUUCAAGCAUCAUUGUCUUUAUUUUGAAAUAAUUUGAAUUUUGUUUUACAUUUGAAAUGACAGACUACAUGUUCUUCACUAGUUUAUCAGACAGACAUUGCUUCCACUUGAAUUUAUACAGUAUGUGUACUUUGUAUCUUAAAAGAAACCUAC